ACGUAGGAUCCAAGCGUUGUCCGGAUUUACUGGGUGUAAAGGGUGCGCAGGCGGGCUUGUUCGUCAGAGGUUAAAGACCUUGGCUUAACCAAGGAAGUGCCUUUGAUACGGCAAGUCUUGAAUGUGAGCGAGGUAGGUAGAAUUCCUGGUGUAGCGGUGAAAUGCGUAGAUAUCAGGAGGAAUACCAGUGGCGAAGGCGGCCUACUGGCUCAUUAUUGACGCUCAGGCACGAAAGCGUGGGGAGCAAACAG
rnacentral:rRNA from 1 species